rnacentral:lncRNA from 13 species
UUCUGUUAGGUAUGCGUAACUGGCUGUAAGGGAGUCGGGCGCAGGAGAGCAGAAGUUGGGUAGCCAAAGGAGCCUUUUAUUUAGGCGAACAAAACCCACGGCACUAAGAACCCUUAACACAAUAUGGGUUUGACAUAACCCAGCGCAAACCAGUCUAGCGUGCACAUACACAAAACAACAAACAAUUCCUCACACAGACAUGGGGGGAACAGAGGGUUAUAUACACGUCUAAUACUGAGGGAAUUGAAACCAGGUGUGUAGGAAAACAAGACAAGACAAAUGGACAAAAAAAAAGACGUGGAAAAAUGAAAGGUGUGGCGAGUGGCGACGGCUAGAAAACCGGUGAUGUCGACCGCCGAACGUCGCCCAAACAAGAGAGGAUCUGACUUCGGCGGAAGUCGUGACACCCUGGUCAUAGACUGCUCUCUCUGCUUCCGCAUGGCACACCUCACCCCCCAUAUUGAUCAUAUUAAAUCAGGUCACACCUCACCCCCCAUAUUGGUCAGGUCACAUCUCACCCCCCAUAUUGAUCAGGUCACACCUCACCACCCAUAUUGAUCAGGUCACACCACACAACCCAUAUUAAUCAGGUCACACCCCUCACCCAUAUUAAUCAGGUCACACCUCACCACCCAUAUUAAUCAGGUCACACCUCACCACCCAUAUUAAUCAGGUCACACCUCACCACCCAUAU